GACGAACGCUGGCGGCGUGCUUAACACAUGCAAGUCGAACGAAGUGGCGAACGGGUGAGUAACGCGUAAUCAACCUGCCCUUCAGAGGGGGAUAACAGUUGGAAACGAGUGCUAAUACCGCAUACUGAAGGAGUGGAUUGCGUCUGCUUAGCUAGUUGGAGGGGUAACGGCCCACGAAGGCGAUGAUCAGUAGCCGGUCUUGAAGGCUGGACGGCACCAUUGGGACUGAGACACGGCCCAGACUCCUACGGGAGGGAGCAUGGGGGAAUCUUCCGCAAUGGACGAAAGUCUGACGGAGCAACGCCGGGUGAGUGAUGACGGCCUUCAGGUUGGAAAGCUCUGUUAAUCGGGACGCGGUACCGGAAUAGAAAGCCACGGCUAACUACGUGCCAGCAGCCGCGGUAAUAC
rnacentral:rRNA from 1 species